rnacentral:rRNA from 1 species
UUUUGCAUAAUGAGCCUGCGAGUUGUGGUGUCUGGCAAGGUUAAGCAAACGCGAAGCCGUAGCGAAAGCGAGUCUGAAUAGGGCGCUUAGUCAGAUGCUGCAGACCCGAAACGAAGUGAUCUAUCCAUGAGCAAGUUGAAGCUAGUGUAAGAACUAGUGGAGGACUGAACCCAUAGGCGUUGAAAAGCCCCGGGAUGACUUGUGGAUAGGGGUGAAAGGCCAAUCAAACUUCGUGAUAGCUGGUUCUCUCCGAAAUAUAUUUAGGUAUAGCGUUGUGUCGUAAUAUAAGGGGGUAGAGCACUGAAUGGGCUAGGGCAUACACCAAUGUACCAAACCCUAUCAAACUCCGAAUACCUUAUAUGUAAUCACAGCAGUCAGGCGGCGAGUGAUAAAAUCCGUCGUCAAGAGGGAAACAACCCAGACUACCAGCUAAGGUCCCUAAAUCUUACUUAAGUGGAAAACGAUGUGAAGUUACUUAAACAACCAGGAGGUUGGCUUAGAAGCAGCCAUCCUUUAAAGAAAGCGUAAUAGCUCACUGGUCUAGUGAUUUUGCGCGGAAAAUAUAACGGGGCUAAAGUAAGUACCGAAGCUGUAGACUUAGUUUACUAAGUGGUAGGAGAGCGUUCUAUUUGCGUCGAAGGUAUACCGGUAAGGAGUGCUGGAGCGAAUAGAAGUGAGCAUGCAGGCAUGAGUAGCGAUAAUUAAUGUGAGAAUCAUUAACGCCGUAAACCCAAGGUUUCCUACGCAAUGCUCGUCAUCGUAGGGUUAGUCGGGUCCUAAGUCGAGUCCGAAAGGGGUAGACGAUGGCAAAUUGGUUAAUAUUCCAAUACCAACAUUAGUGUGCGAUGGAAGGACGCUUAGGGCUAAGGGGGCUAGCGGAUGGAAGUGCU